CCUACGGGAUGCACCAGUGGGGAAUAUUGCACAAUGGGCGCAAGCCUGAUGCAGCCAUGCCGCGUGUAUGAAGAAGGCCUUCGGGUUGUAAAGUACUUUCAGCGAGGAGGAAGGCAUUAAGGUUAAUAACCUUAGUGAUUGACGUUACUCGCAGAAGAAACACCGGCUAACUCCGUGCCAGCAGCCGCGGUAAUACGGAGGGUGCAAGCGUUAAUCGGAAUUACUGGGCGUAAAGCGCACGCAGGCGGUCUGUCAAGUCGGGUGUGAAAUCCCCGGGCUCAACCUGGGAACUGCAUCCGAAACUGGCAGGCUAGAGUCUUGUAGAGGGGGGUAGAAUUCCAGGUGUAGCGGUGAAAUGCGUAGAGAUCUGGAGGAAUACCGGUGGCGAAGGCGGCCCCCUGGAUAAAGACUGACGCUCAGGUGCGAAAGCGUGGGGAGCAAACAGGAUUAGAUACCCGCGUAGUC
rnacentral:rRNA from 1 species